CACGUAGGGGGCAAGCGUUGUCCGGAUUUAUUGGGCGUAAAGAGCUCGUAGGCGGCUUAGUAAGUCGGGUGUGAAACCUCCAGGCUCAACCUGGAGACGCCACCCGAUACUGCUGUGGCUAGAGUCCGGUAGGGGAGCGUGGAAUUCCUGGUGUAGCGGUGAAAUGCGCAGAUAUCAGGAGGAACACCAGCGGCGGAGGCGGCGCUCUGGGCCGGUACUGACGCUGAGGAGCGAAAGCGUGGGGAGCAAACAGG
rnacentral:rRNA from 1 species